rnacentral:rRNA from 1 species
GAUGAACGCUAGCGACAGGCUUAACACAUGCAAGUCGAGGGGUAACAGGGUAGCAAUACCGCUGACGACCGGCGCACGGGUGAGUAACGCGUAUGCAACCUGCCUAUAACUGGGGAAUAGCUCCCUGAAAGGGGAAUUAACACCGCAUAACACUAUUGAUUCGCAUGGAUUGGUAGUUAAAUGUAGCGAUACAGGUUAUAGAUGGGCAUGCGUGACAUUAGCUAGUUGGUGAGGUAACGGCUCACCAAGGCUACGAUGUCUAGGGGUUCUGAGAGGAAGGUCCCCCACACUGGUACUGAGACACGGACCAGACUCCUACGGGAGGCAGCAGUGAGGAAUAUGGUCAAUGGGCGCAAGCCUGAACCAGCCAUGUCGCGUGCAGGAAGACUGCCCUAUGGGUUGGUAAACUUGACUUUUAUAGUUAGAAGAAACAACAAUCUACGUCGUAGAUGUCUGCCACGGUAUACUAUGUAAUAA